rnacentral:rRNA from 1 species
UACGUAGGGGGCUAGCGUUGUCCGGAUUUAUUGGGCGUAAAGAGCGUGUAGGCGGCCAGGUAGGUCUGCUGUGAAAACUCGAGGCUCAACCUCGAGACGUCGGCGGAAACCAUCUGGCUAGAGUCCGGAAGAGGCGAGUGGAAUUCCCGGUGUAGCGGUGAAAUGCGCAGAUAUCGGGAGGAACACCAAUGGCGAAGGCAGCUCGCUGGGACGGUACUGACGCUGAGGCGCGAAAGCUAGGGGAGCAAACAGG